GGCGGGAGGCAAAAGACACUUCUUACGCGGCAGCAGCAAGAGAAAAUGAGAGGAAGCCAAACUGGAAACCCCUGAUAAGCCCACCAGAUCUCGUGAGAUUAUUCACUACCAUGAGAAUCGCAUGGGAAAGACCAGCCCGGUAAUUCAGUUAACUCCCGCUGGGCCCCUCCCACAACACGUGGGAAUUCCGGGAGAUCCGAUUUAUGUUGACAUUUGGGUGGGACACAGCCAAACCGUGUCAAGAGAGAAGAGUUCUGGGCUGAGGCUGGUCAUGUUUAGAGGCCUGAGAUGGUGCGUAAGUGAAGUGUGGAAUUUACUGAGGAUGGAAAAUUCAGAAUAACAGCGGCUCCUACCUCCUUGAUUCAAGAGGAUGCUUGAGCCCCAGCCAUCGCCUCCCUUCCAGAAAAAGGAAAGAGGCAAAGGACACGUUCCCUCCCAUCAAGUGUCUGUCCCAGAGACUGCAGAUAGCCCUCCUUACGAACCCACGUAGGUCCCAGAGAGGCUGAAAGGUCACCUUUAUUCUGGGUGGGAAAACACCUAGCUAAGAAUCAGAGGUUCUAUUACUAAAGAAGGGAAAGGAAUCAGCUGCUGGGGAGACGCAGCCACCUCUGACGCGGAGGAUUAGGGGCACGGCUCUUUCCAGGGAACUGGAGAGUGUUGGGUGAGGAGCAUAAAGAUUCACAGGAGAGACUGAUUUUACGAGGAGGGUUGUCCACGUGUUUCUUCAAAGUUACUAUUUAUUUAUCAUUGUCCAUAAGCCAAGACUAUUUCUUAAAUAACUUUUACUUUUUUUUUAAGAGAUGGGACCUCACUAUUGCUGUCCAGGCUGGUCUCAAAUUCCUGGAUGCAAGUGGUCCGCCCACCACAGCCUCCCAAAGUGCUGGGAUUACAGGUGUGAGCCACCGCACCUGGCUAUAGCUUUUACUUUUGUGAUAAUUACAGAUUCACAAGAAGUUGUGAAUGAAUGUAUAGAAAGUUUCCACACGCUCUCCACUCAGCCUCCCCCCGUGUUAAAUUUUUACCCAGUUAUAGUAUAAUAUCAAAAUCAGGAAACUGGUACGAUCCACGGAUCUUUUUCAGAUUUCAUCACCUAGACAUGUACUUGUGUGUGUGUGCAUGUGUGUAGCUCUAAGACUUUACAACACAUGUAACUCCAUGGAACCACCACAAUCAGGUAUUCAACUGGACUAUCAUGUUUCACAGGCCCCUGGUCUUAUGCCUCCAGUGAGACCAUCGGUUAAUGAACACGUAUGUAGCAGCUGCUGCAUACACCACCCCCGGCUGAAUUCUCACAAGCACCCAGCAGCUGCUCCGUAUUCCAGGACAUUACCAUCGUCUUGCUGAAGAAGCGGGCUGUGGAGAGGUUCUGCCACGUGUCUGCGGUCACACGACUGGGCCUGGGGAAGGGAAGUUCUGUGCAGAGCUGAGGCUGAGGCUGAGGACAUCUGAGAUAAGUCGAAGGACAUCUGAAGAGACAGAAAGCCAGGCUUUGCUAGAACUAAGUCCUUUUCUUGAACGAAACGCUAGAACUAAACCAAACUCAGCUCCAGAGACCGACACUGACCCACACGGCCCCUGUCUCAUAAACACAUGGAACACACAACCCACCAGGCGUUCCUGAAAACCCAGUAUGUAAAAGAGGACCUAAGAGGAAACAGCAGAAUGGCUGAUAACCGAGAGGGUAGAAUUGAACUUCUGAAAAAGUCUUAGCAUCCUCACACACGUUCAGCAGAGUGGCUGGCUUCAUAAAAGAAGAGUAAGUUCUUAAGAAAAGGAGAAAUCAAAACUAUGUUCAGGAAGAAGCAUAGAACUGCUGAGAUGAAAAGCUUACACUGAUACAAUGAAGGAUAAAUGGGAAGGAAUCUUCCCUUCACAUAGAGCAAAGCAACAAAGAGAUGGAAACUAUCAGAGAAACACCAAGAAACAGAGGGUGGGGCACGGUGGCUCCCACGUGUCACCCCAGCGCUUUGGGAGGUCAAGGCAGGCAGAAUACCUCAGGUCAGGAGUUUGAGACCAGCAUGUCCAAUAUAGUGAAACCUCAUCUCUACUAAAAGUACAAAAAUUAGCCAGACGUGGUGGCACACACCUGUAGUCUCAGCUAGUCUACUCGGGAGGCUGAGGCAGGAGAAUUGCUUGAACCCGGGAGGCGGAGGUUGCAAUGAGCCACGACUGCACCACUGCACUCCAGCCUGGGUGACAGAGCAAGACUCCAACCCAAAAACCAAACAAAACAGAAAACGCCACAGAGAUUUGACAUCUAUCUAAUAGGAGUUACAGAAAAGUAACUACAGAAGGAAAGAGAAUUUCAAAGAAAUAAAACAGGGAAGAAAUCAUAGAAGACAAUUCUCUGAGCAGAAGAAAGUCAUAUUAUUGGAUGACAAAGACCUAGAGAAUAGCAGCAGAAUGAAUUUAAAACACGGUCUCACACCAAGACACACUCUGAUGAAAUUGUAGAAUAUAAAUAAAAUCCUAAGAGCUUCUGGGAGGAGAGAAGGCAGCUCUACCGCAACAAGGCUCCUCAGAUUUCUUUUUGGCAAUAAUAUGUGAUAAUACAAUGAAGUGAAGUGUCCAAAACUCAGAGGGAAAAGUUGCUGAACCUAGAAUUCCAGAGCACAUGAACAAUUAGCCACCUGCGAGGUCAAAAAACGGAUAUCCAUAUGCCACACAAGACCUGAAAAAAUUACUCAAGUUGGUACUCCAGCAAAGUGAAAUACAGGACUCGGGGGCACCUACAGAUCUACCACAGUGGGUGACUGGAGGAACUACGGCGUUGACACAUGACGGAAAACUGAGCAGCUGAAAAGCAGCAGGACACAUUGUAGCAUGAUGGGGGCACUACUUAUGCUAAACACACACAUACGCAGGUGCAAAAUAUACACUUUUAUGGAUAUGUGAAGAUUUAGGGAAAUUCAAAUGUGAAGGUCUGGAGUAUGCACAGGUGUGGUGGGAGGAAGUUGGGGUUGGGAGAAGACGGAGUGAUCGAAGUGACUUUAGACCUUUCAGUAAUAUUUUAAAUUUUACAAGGAGAAUGUACACACACACACACAUCAUAGUAAAAUUAUAAAAACAAAAAUAUAAGCAAAGCAAAGCACAAGUCUAUUCGACAGUAAGUGCAAAGCUGGAAAAAAUUAAUUAAGAGACAGUCACCUAGACCUUCUGCCUGGAAGAGUCCACUUUGAGCGGCAGAGCUUUGGAAGCCAAGGAUUAUGUUUCUUUUUAUAGGUCCAGUCAUACCGUCUGGCUCCAAAGGGAAUCACAUCAUCAUAAAAUCACAAGUGGAUUUUUAAACAAUUUUAUUGAGAUGUAAUUCACACACCAUCAAUUGAGACUGUAGGAUUCAGUGGUUUUUAGUAUAUUCAGAGUUGGCCAACCAUCACCACGAGCAGUUUGAGAACUUUUGUAUCACACCAAAAAGAAAGAAACCCUCUGCCCGCUGCAGUCAUCCUCCAUUUCUCCCUGAUACGUCUCCCCCCUCCAGUCCCAGGCAACCACUCAUCUAUUCAUUGCCUCUGAGGAUUCGCCAGCUAGGAACGUUUCAUGUAAAUGGAAUCAUGUAAUAGGUGGUCUUUAGCGACUGGCUGCCUGUGCUUGGCAGAAAGUUUUCAAGGCUUAUCUACGUCGUAGGGUGUGUCAACACUUCACUCCUUUUCAUUGCUGAAUAACAUUCUACUGCAUGGACAUUUCACGUUUUCUUCAUCCAGUUCCUCAGUUCCUGGAUAUUUGGGUCGUCUCCACUUUUUGGCUAUAGCAAAAACUAUGCUUCCGUGAACAUUCGUGAACAAGAUUUUGGGUGAACGUGUUUUCAUUCUUCCUGGGUAUAUACCUAGGAGUAGCCCAUAUGGCAACUUUAUGUGCAACUUUUUUCAUUCUGUCACCCAGGCUGCAGUGCAGUGACACAAUCUCAGCUCACUACAACCUCCACCUCCCAGGUUCAAGCUAUUCUCGUGCCUCGGCCUCCUGAUAGCUGGGACUACAGGUAUGCACAACCAGGCCCGGCUAAUUUUUGUAUUUUUAGUAGAGAUGGGGUUUUGCUAUGUUGGCCACACUGGUUUCAAACUCCUGACCUCAAGUGAUCCACCCACCUUGGCCUCACAAAAUGCUGGGAUUAUAGGAGUGAACCACCAUGGCUGGCCCCGUUUACCUUUUUUUUUUUUUAAUUAAAACAACAACAUUUUUUAAGACAAGGUCUCACUCUAUUACCCAGGCUGGAGUGCGGUGGCACAAUAAUGGCUUGAUGCAACCUCAACGUCCUGGACUCAAGAGGUCCUCACAUCUAGCUAGGACUAGCCUAACUAGUUAGCUAGGACUACAGGUGUGCACCACCACGUCGGGCUAAUUUUUAAAUUUUUAGAAAAUUUAAAAAUUAAAAGAAUCAAUGCAACAAUAAGAGUUAACGAUCCUAAAGACCCAUAAAGAGAUUUAGACUCAACGAGACAGAAAAUUGAUGAGGACAAUCAGGACUUGAACUCAGAUGCGGAACAAGUAAACUUAAUAAAUAUCUAUAGAGCUCUCCAUUUUAAAUACACAAAAUAUUGAUCGGCCAUUAUUAAUACCCAUUUUUAGAAUAAAGCAAUGUUCCCAUCCUCUCUCCCUCUUUUUCUUCCUCUUUCUUCCUCUCCUUCACUCCUUUUCUCUUUCUUUUCUUCUUUCCAAAAAAAAAAAAAAAAACUUUCACUGUUUAAGUCAGCCCAUCUAUGGCAGGUUUCAUCCUGAGGCCUCUCAUCUUGGCUGGUAGGCAGCCACCAUUUCUGCAUGUGCUCACAUGGCCUCUUGUUUGUCCUCCUGUGGAGAGGGGGAGGUCUAAUGUCUCUUUCUUUUUCUAAUAAAAAUAAAUAAAUAAAUAAAUAACUUUUUUGUAGAGUUAGUCUCUUUAUGUUGCCCACACUUUGUCUUAAACUCCUGGGCUCAAGUGAUCCUUCUGCCUUGGCCUCCCAGUGUUCUAGGAUUACAGGCAUGAGCCACCAGCCUGGCCUAUGUUUAACUUUUUGAGAAAUUGCCAGACUGUGUCCAAAGUGGCGGCACCGUCUUACAUUCCCGCCAGCAGUGUAUGAGGGUCCGAUUUUCCCAUGUCUUUCCAGCACUUGUUCUUAGCCACGAUUUUGAUGACCGCCAUCCUGGCAGGUGUGAAGUGGGGUCUCAUUGUGGCUUUGACUAGUUCUCCAAUAAGGCAAAUGCCUUUUACUGCAUUUUCCAGCCACAGAACCACCAAGUGUGGAAGACUGGACGAUAAUUACAAAACAGAACGCAAGCACAGAACUUGGGAGUGUGCAAAUGAGAACAAAUACAGACUGGGGGAGACCAGCGAAGAAAAGCAGGAAGAAGGGCAGCGCGUUAACAUCCUCCUCUUCCAUCGCGGGGAGGCGAGAACUGGAACGAAAUAUGUUGGCAGAAGUAAAUGAAGAGAAAAGGUGGGACGGGGACCCGGCCUUCUGCAGCUCGCAUAGCCAGGCACGUUUGUUAGUUUAUGUUACUUACAGACAGUUACUAUUUACGUGAUGUCACAAAUGGCAUAUAUUUUACAUCAACUUAUCAUCAUCAACUGUGAAGGAGUGGAUUUGAAGGGGGAAAUGAGGCAUUUAAUUUUUAUUGCAAUUAAGAUGCAUGCGUAUUUACUAACCCGUACUCAAUAACUAUGUACACGUGCUAACCUGUGCGUGCACAGAAGCAGAGCCGUGUGUGUGCACACCGUGAAGGAACCCAGGAGAGUCCGCAGCACAUCCUCAGCGAUGCGGCGUGAACUGGGGGUGCGAGGGGUGUUCAGAUCUCCACUGAAUUGUAGGUAGGGACAGUACUCAAAUAUUUUGUUUACUUUCUAUCAGAAAAUAAGUUCUACAUCCUUAAAAAUGCCUUUCCUAGAAAAAAGAGAAAAAUUCAUCCUGGUCCUUUUGCCCCUGCUGCUCCCCUAGAGACCACCGUCUCUGGAACCUCAUGGCCGGAUUGCCCGGUGUCUUCCGGAAUCAUCUUCCAGCUUUUGCUAGAUGUGAAUCUGACCAUGUCCAUUCCCCACUCUAAAAAUCUUCAUUGUCUUUAAAGAAAACACAGCAGCAAUCAAACAGCGGCGGUGUUCAGAAUGUUCCAGAGCUGGUGUGGCCUGGGCGCGGGUCGUGGGGAGAGCCACAGGGAGUGGCCACCAGUCACGAAGCAGGAGGCUGUUCUGCGUGUGCGGCUCCACACUCAGGCGCGGAGUAAACCGAGUGCUUUUAACAAUCUCAUGGUGGGAACCGCAUCUCUAAGGCAUCAUGAAACCCAGAAACCAUAAAGGAAAAUAUUGAUAAAUUUGACUAAAUAAAAAUGUCACUGUUUUUUUGAAAGAAAAAUGCAUAAAUCAAACCAUUAUAGAGACAAACUGAGAAUAAAUAUUUAUAACACAUACAAUACACUGAGAACUAAUCUCGUCAAUUUACAAAGAGCUCCUCCAGCUCAGCAUGAAAAAGACCAGACAUCCAAAAGAAAAACAUGGUCACAGGACAGAAAGUGAGAGGUGAUUCUUAGGAAAAGAAACACAAAUGAUUUGAUGCCUACGAAAACACCCCCAUCAUCACUCAUAGGAAAAGAUAAAUGCAAGUUAAGACUACAUUUAGGCCGGGCUUGGUGGUUCACACCUGGUAAUCCCAGCUCGGGAGGCUGAGGCAUGUGGAUCACUUGAGGUCAGGAGUUGGAGACCAUCCUGGCCAACAUGGAGAAACCCUUUCUCUACUAAAAAUACAAAAAUUAGCUGGGCAUGGUGGCUGGUGCCUGUAAUCCCAGCUACUCGGGAGGCUGGUGCCUGUAAUCCCAGCUACUCAGGAGGCUGAGGCAGGAGAAUGCCUGAACCCAGGAAGCGGAGGUUGUGGUGAGCUGAGAUUGCGCCACUGUACUCCAGCCUGGGCAACAGAGCAAGACUCUGUCUCAACAACAACAAAAACCCAAAAGUUAACCGGAUCUGGGGGUGCAUGCCUGUAAUCGCAGCUACUCAGGAGGCUGAAACAGGAGGAUCACUUGAGCCUGGGAAACAGGUUGCCGUGAGCCGAGAUCGUGCCACCACACUCUACCCUGGGCAACAGAGCGAGACUCUGUCUUAAAAAAAGAAAAAACAAAACAAGAAAGACUAACUUGAAAUACUAUUUCUCACCUACCAGACUGGAAAACAUGAUAAAGUUUGGGGUAAGGAGGUGGAGAAACAAGCUCAGUCUCUUUGGUGGGCAAUUUGGUAUUAUCUAUAAAAACUUUAAAUGAAUAUCCUCUGCCUCCAGAAGUUCUCUGUAAUAUCCUUGGAAACAGAUCUUUAUAUAUAUACACACACAUAUAUAAAGACAUUAUAUAUUUUUUUUUCUCUUUUUUGAGAUGGAGUCUCAUUCUGUCGCCCAGGCUGCAGUGCAGUGUUGUGACUACAGCUUACUGGGCUCAGAAAAUUCUCCCACCCACCUCAGCCUUCCAGGUAGCUGGCAUCACAAGUGUUCGCCACCACAUCUGGCUAUGUUUUUUUCCCCUGGUCUCACCAUGUGGCCCAGCCUGGUCUGUAACUCCUGGCCUCAAGCAGUCCUCCCACCUCAGCCUCCCCAAAUGCUGGAAUUACAGGCAUAAGCUACUGUGCCUGGCCAAAAAUACCUUUAUAAGGACAUUCAGCAUAGCUGUUUUUAGCAGCACCUCAGGCCAAGGGCUCCUCGUCUUGGCUCAGUGUAAGGCGUGCACUGAAUAAAUACUUAAGUCACGGAGCUUAAACAUUGACUGCAGCAGACAGGCAGCAUCAAAGAAACAGCAGAGGGUGUGCAGGGCGCUGAGGCAGCGGCCACCUCCUUCCCAAGGCCAGCCAUGGCAAGCCCCGCCUCAUCUAACAAGGUGGCCAGGCCUCCAGGUUGCUGGUGCCCCGCCCUGGCUUUCGACAGGUGCCUCACAGGACAGACCACCGAGGGUCAUCUGUGCCUCUUCGGCCAUCCAUGGCCAGCAUUCCUGCACUCAUUUACUUAAAAUUCUACUACUAAAUCCAGUUAGUUGAGGUUCUUGACUACAAAAAAAGAAACUGAUUAAUUUAGGCAAAAAACAAAAACUGUUGGCAACACAUCAGAGUGAACCACAUGCCUGGAGUCACGCUGCAGUCGUGCCUGUGGAAAGCCUGGAGGCAGGUCCCCAGGUCCCCGUGUCCCUUCUGCCUUGCCAGCCCUCCACCUGGGCAGGGCUCUGCCCACGCCUGCUGGUGAGAGGCGGAUACUGAGGCACCGAGGCUACGAGGAAUGCCCUCUGCCUGAAGCACCUCCGCUCUCCACCCAAGGGCCACCUCAAGGUCUGCCCAGCAGAGAGGGAGACGGGGAGUCCUUUGUUGCCACUUCCUGCGUACACAGACACCUCUGUGACUCCCAGGCAGCGCUGCAGCACGUCUGAACCCCCGCUGAUGGGUAUUAAUCAGCUGAGUGUGGUGAUAAAGGGCCCUGUCUGACAGGCAUCCGCGCCAGCACCGCUGGUUUACAGCUCGCCACCAAGGCCACGAUGGAAGGGGGUUUCUAAGACCAGGAGAGAAGGAGCGGUGUGAGCAUUUCACAGAGAAAGCAUUGAUUUCCAUUGGCGUCGGCCAUUCCAGGCCUGGGCCAACCCACCUGCACAUGGAGUGUCAGGCAGGAAAUGUGCUGGAGAAUCUGGCUCAGCUGGAACUUCCUAAAUUUGACCCUGUGUCUGAGAGGCAAGAAGGCCUUGGAGACCCUGCUCCUGCGUUGAGAAGCUUCCACUUUCCAAAGAGAUCAUGUGUGUUAUGGGUGGAAUUACAUCCCCUAAAAUUCACACAUCAGAGCCUAACCCCAGUGCCUGUGAAGGUGACCUCAUGGGGAAAUGGGGUCUUUGCAGAUGUCAUCAAGGUGGGAUGAGGUCACUAGGCCCCUAAUCCAGUGUGCCUGUGCCCUCAUGAAUGAGGGAGAUUCAGACACAGAGAGAGACGGCACACGGGCACAGCGAGGGGUGGGCACGCAGGAAGAGGUGGGGUGAUGCUUCCAGGAGCCGGGACCACCAGAGAUUGCCAGCAACCUCCAGAAGCUGGAGCGUGGCCUGGGACAGACUCCCCCUCGGCCACAGAAAGAUCCAGCCCUGCCCGGGGCUCGACCUCGGCUGUCCAGUCUGUGAGCCGUGAGCUGACAUUCCCGUCGUUCAGGCCUCGGGGUUUGUGCUCCUUGGUUCUGGCAGUCCUGGGAAAGUAGUGACACACCGUGUGCAGCCACUCACUAUGCAGCGGACUCCAUGACCCCAUGGGUCACGCCAUCAGCGCAGCGUCCAUAUUCACAAGUCACAUGGAGAAUUUUCACCUGACCCAUCCAUUUAAUUCAAGGGAAAAGAAGACAGGUUCAUUGCACGACUGCUUUUGCGGGUCUUCUUUCUCUUUUCCAUCAGCAGUUGGCCUGCUGUGCCCCCUGGUUCUGUGGUUCUGGUGACCGAGGGGAGCUGUGGGCAGACACCCAUCACCAUCGCGCUGGGUCUGAGCUCGGCAGCCACUGCGAGCCAAUGUCCACCUCUGCGACCUAAUUCAGAACUCGGGCGGGGCCUGAGAUGCGUGCACAGGGCUCCAUUAGGAGAGAAAGCUGCCUGCACCACGGCUGACUAAUGCUGCUUUCAGGGCCAGGAAGCUGUCUCCUGGGAGGAAAUAUAUUAUUCUACAAUUUCCCUAAAAUAUUAAAAGUGGAGUUCUGCUUUGGGAGGACCAGCCCGCACUGACUGACAGCGUCCUGGGGAGGACAGGCCUGAAGGGCUUUGGAAGUUCCACCAGGGCCUUCACCUCCUAAGGGCUGUCUUGGGAAAAUGCAGACUUCUCUUGAGCACAGAAGAGAAUAUUCAGCUCUUCUGUGAAUAUUCAGCUGAGAACAUUCAGUCUCAAAGACCAAGAACUUUAACUCCGCAAGGGGUUAGACACCACAGGGAAGGCGGUUGUGUGGUCGGGAGACAGAGCAAUGAUCACUUAAAACCCAGCUGAGGCUGGGGGCCGUGGCUCAUGCCUGUAAUCCCAGCAUUUUGGGAGGCCGAGGCCAGCCAAUCACUCAAGGUCCGGAGUUCGAGACCAGCCUGACCAACAUGGUGAAACCCUGUCUCUGCUAAAUAUACAAAUUAGCCGGGCGUGGUGGCACAUGCCUGUAGUCCCAGCUACUCAGGAGGCUGAGGCAGGAGAAUCAAUUGAACCCAGGAGGCGGAGGUUGUGGUGAGGCAAGAUCGCACCAUUGUACUCCAGCCUGGGCAACAAGAGUGAGACUCCAUCUCAAAGAAAAAAAAGAAAACCCAGCUGACAUGAGAAGAACAGUGUAGAUCUCAGCCUGAAAAUCCAAGGAACAUUUAAAUUAUCUCCAGCAAGAUAAGAUCUAGAUUUUAGAGACCCCCAAGAGGUCUGUGCAUAAAACGCAGAAGUCCAUGAACUUGAGUGAGAAAUAAUUAUAUCUUUAUUUUCACUAACUUCCGACUAAAAUCUGACCCGCCCUUUAGUGAUGAACCUGAGCUGCAAAGCGCCUCAGGUUGUAUUAGCCUUGUGGCUCUGUCACCAGCAGAAGCACAGAUAUUUCUACUCUCACACGGUGCAGACAUCUCCAUAUGCCUCGCAUUUUUACAGAGGUAUUCGAACGUUGUACGCACGUCCUUCCUUCCUCCGAGAGACCUGGUCAUUUUGUGCAUUGACAGAGCUCUUUCACACGUUUGUUCGAAUGUUCCGAGGAGUAUAUUUCAGUGUCCGCGUUCUCCUUCUUAAGCCUAAGUAUUUUGCAUUAUUCACUGAAACGCGUUCUUCUGAGAAGCUACCCUGGGUUCUACCAAACAGCCCUGCAAUGGAGGGCACCUCAGGAGCUCCUGACCUAGGACGAGGCCUAGAGUCAGGUUCCAGUCAGGAGAGCAGAAGGCACUGUGCGUGCAGUCACGCGCCACCGAACUGCGGUCACCUUGACACUGUGUAGACAACAGAUGUCCUGUAAGAAUCUUUUUUUUUUUUUUUUUUUGGAAAUGGAGUCUCACUCAGUCGGCCAGGCUGGAGUCCAGUGGCACAAUCUCGGCUCACUGCAACUUCCACCUCCCAAGCUCAAGUGAUUCUCCUGACUCAGCCGCCUGAGUAGCUGGGAUCACAGGCGCCCGCCACCACAUCUGGCUAAUUUUUGUAUUUUUAGUAGAGACGGGGUUUCACCAUAUUGGCCAGGCUGGUCUCGAACUCCUGGUCUCAAGUGAUCUGCCCACCUCAGCCUUGCAAAGUGCUGGGAUUCCAAGUGUGAGCCACCAUUUCUAUGUUUGAUGUGUUUGGAUGCCCAAAUCCACACCAUUGUGUGACAAUUUUCUAUAGUACUCAGUCUCAGACUCUAGAGCAGCUGGGGCCACAGGGGAGCCCACCACUCAGCUGCCAGGGACACCCACUGAGUCACCGAGACUCAAAAUGCCUGGCAUCACCCUUCUUCCCAUCUCCCAUCUUUUACCUUCGUUAUCAGGGUCCAGCCAGAAGCCAGUGUGGUCUGCGGAGCCACAGGGUCAGCCGGCUGGGACUCCAGCAGAGCAUGGGAGGGCGAGGCCAGGGCCCCAGUCAACAGCCAGGGUGUGGGAGCCUGCAGUGCUCGCCUGCCCAAGCGUGGCCAUCAGUGUCCUAGGUUUCUCCAAAGUCCAAACACUUGCCCUCAGCCCAAGAAACACAUAGAGUUUGAGAGCAAAAUUUAGAUGUUCGACCGCAGUCUCAACAUCACGUCCCACAAUAUCCAUUCACACACAGCACCAACGCCUCUGGCUGACAGCUCUGGCUGCCUGGGCUCGGCCGGGCUGUGGAAAGCAUCGCGUCUCUGCGUGUUAUUUAUGCAUCUGGAACGCCCGCUCCUGGGCUCCUGCAGCCACCUGCCUCUGCUUGUCUCAUCCAUAACAGCGGGCGUGCUUGUGCCACAGACACUGCUGAGGGAGAAGGAAUAAAGUGAUGAGACACUUACUGAUUUAUCCAUCCUCAGGCAAACUUGAUCUGGAGCAUACAAUAAAUAUCGUGAUACCUGUGUGAAUUAAAACAAUCACUUACUUAUUAGCGCUUGGCACCAGAAAUACAGUCAGGAUUAAUGUCCCGGGAUUCCUGAUGCUCCCUCUCAGCUUAUCUGUUUUACAAGUAAGCUCUUUGCCUUCUGAGUUCAUUGUAGGAAUUGCAGUUUUACAUCAAUUACAUUUCCAUUAGCAUCGUAGAUAUCCCUUUUCAUACAGCAUUAUCAGGCUACAGAUACACAAAACGUCAAUAUUCUCCCUCACUACAUUAUGCUAAUCACACUCAGAGCUCCAGUGCCGGGUCCGUCCAGGAGUCAGACGCUUGCACGGAUGCAACAUUUACAAGCAGCUGAUCUUCCCAGGCAGCUGCCUCCCGCAUUUGCAGAUGCAGACGAGGACUAAUGGGCCAGAGUAAAGCAUGUGCCUGCCAUGGUGACCUUCUAACCGUGCCGGCAUCCCGAGAUCUGUCACGCAGCUUCAGAGGCCACGCCGCGCCUCGUGGGGUCCUUCACCAGCUACUGCUCCACACUGCAGUCAUAACUGCUCACAUCAAUGGCCAAAGUACAAAGAGUGACAACGUAAACUCACAUCUGGGAAUGUGUUUCUGGCUGGUUUUCAAUCUCGACCCGAUGAUCUUACACCUCCAUGUCCUACGGCCCCCAUCAACCCUGUCCAUGGAAUUUGUUUGUUUAUUUUGAGACGGAGUCUCACUCUGUCACCCAGGCUGGAGUGCAGUGGCGCAGUCUCGGCUCACCGCAACCUCCACCUCCCGGGUUCAAGCAGUUCACCUGCUUCAGCCUCCUGAGUACCUGGGAUUACAGACGCACUACCACGCCCAGCUAACUUUUGUAUUGUGUUAGAUAGGGGUUUCAUUGUGUUGUCCAGGCUGGUCUCAAACUCCUGACCUCAGGUGAUCCUCCCAGCUCAGCCUCUCAAUGUACGUGAGCCGCUGCACCCGGCCAUCUCCAUGGAAUUUAAAGGUAGAAAAACAGCUGGAGGCUCCUGGUCAGUCACCAAAUGGGCUGUUCCUCGACAGCCUAACAGCACAUGUGCCCUUGGACCAGGCACCCAUGGAAGGGCGGCUUCCCUCGCAGCAACCUUGAGUCAGAUGCCUGCAAGUUUUCCUGAUGUGCUCUCAAGGGGGCCUUGCAGAAGGAGGCAUGGAGCAGGCAGGGCGAGGGCUCAGGUAAGGCGGCCUUGGCUGAACAGGGAAGCUGUGCUCUGAGGGUAGGGGGCAGGCCUCGGGCCCCUGUUCUAGCAGCCAACAUGCAACACUGGAGCUCCUGGCCCGGCCCGGCAGUGCAUGUUCAGCCCAGUGCACACCGGCUCACAGCCCCUUCCACGCAUCUGUCAUGGUCUCCAUCCCGGGAAGGAUUUCCCAUCUCCCAGAUGCCACCUGUCCCUGUCCCCAUGCAGCCCACAAGAGCUCCCGUUGCCGAGGCUGUGCCAGGUCUGAGCCACAGAGUCUGGCAUUUGCCGUGAGCUGCCUCAAGCGGCUCCUGCCUCCUGUGUGCGAGGUUUGCGUGUUCAGCACAUGUAAGUCUCAGAGGUGGUGCUGUGGUUGAAUUGUGUCCCCCAAGAGACAGGUGAAGUCCCUGCUCCAGAGUCUCAGAAUGAGACUUUACUUGGGGACAGGGUUCUGCAGGCCUGGUUAGCAGGCGAUGAGGCUGUGCUGGAGAAGGAUGGGUCCCCAGUUCCAUGCGACUCUGUCCUUCUGAGAAGAUGGUCUGGCAGCACAGACACGGUGGGUGGAAUGUCUGUGACACCAAAGGUAGAAAUUGGAGCCAGGCAGCUGCCAUCAAGAAACAUCAGGAAUUCCAAGAGGCCCUGGGAGCUGGGAGGGGAGGAGGGACUGUCCCCAAGAUCCUCUGGAGGGGGCGGCCCGACCCACAGCUGGAUCUCUGACUCGCAGCUCCAGAUGGUGAGAACAGAUUUCUGUUGUUUCAAGGCUGUCUGGGCACUUGGUCCUGGCUGGCUGAGCACACUCGCGUGGGGAGUGUGA